AACGCGAAGAACCUUACCUACCCUUGACAUCCAAAGAAUUUUGCAGAGAUGUAGAAGUGCCGAAAGGAACUUUGAGACAGGUGCUGCAUGGCUGUCGUCAGCUCGUGUUGUGAGAUGUUGGGUUAAGUCCCGUAACGAGCGCAACCCUUAUCUUUAGUUACCAGCGCGUAAAGGCGGGGACUCUAAAGAGACUGCUGGUGAUGAACCGGAGGAAGGCGGGGACGACGUCAAGUCAUCAUGGCCUUUAUGGGUAGGGCUACACACGUGCUACAAUGGUCGGUACAGAGGGCAGCCAACUCGCGAGAGGGAGCUAAUCCCAGAAAGCCGAUCGUAGUCCGGAUCGGAGUCUGCAACUCGACUCCGUGAAGUCGGAAUCGCUAGUAAUCGCGAAUCAGAAUGUCGCGGUGAAUACGUUCCCGGGCCUUGUACACACCGGCUAC
rnacentral:rRNA from 1 species